ensembl:lncRNA
CUGGGGGGACGUGGGCAUACUGGGCAGUACUUCUGCUGCCUGCUGGUGUCUGUGAAAUCAACACACCAUCUGUUGUUGUAGGGAUGGAGCCUGCGCGUCCAUGGAGUGGUGCUGGGCAAGGCUGGAAACGCAAAGCCUCCGCAGGUAAGAAGCUCUUGCGAGCUGUGCUGACUGCAGAAGCGGCAUAAUGUUGUAGCAGCAGAAAGGCAAGCUGAAGAAACUGCUCUUGAAGACCAGAAGAUUGUGGUUGGCUGUGCUCAAAUCUUCCGCCACAGAGAUGCUCUUCAUGUCUUUCUUGUCUCCUUUCUGCCAGAAGCUGAUGCGAGCGGCCUUCCAGCAAAGCGCAGCCUUGCAGAAAGGCAAGGCAGAAGCGCCCAGUGUGGCACAGCACCCAAGAGAGAGAUUGGUGCUGAGCCAAAUGACAAAAUCUAUGUCAAAGUGGUCCAGCAGGUCCAUACUGAGAGAGCUUGUCAACGAGCAGCAGCUCAAGCUCCUCUCCAGGCUGGAGGUCCUCCUUAGAAGAGCAGGUCCCAGCACAGGGGGAAGACCUUCCCCUGCCGUGUGCCCCCGCUCUGUCUCCAACACCCUGGCUGGAUGUAAACGCAAGGCCUUGGAGGAAGGGAAACCAACAGCAGCUCAGCUGCCUUCCAAUAAGAGAGUGAGGGGGCCGAGUGGAGACGGCGUGCCGGCUCCAGCAGCACACCCUGGGCCUGCUGCAGCGCGGAGCUCCAAGCAAAGAGAAAGAAGACGACAACGAAAAGAGAGGAGAGUGGAGCUGAAGAAGGCUGCCCUCAGAGCUGCCGCUGCACGUGCAGAGGCCUCCGCAGUGGACAGCCUUGUGGAGAUGAUGCAGAAGCUGCAGCUGAAGGACUGAGAGGAGGAGCGUCAGCAGGCAGC